GAUGAACGCUGGCGGCGUGCCUAACACAUGCAAGUCGAGCGAGGGUUUGCUCAGUAUUGAGUAUUCUAAGACUAGAAUGUUCAAUUCUGAGCAAAACCAAGCGGCGGACGGGUGAGUAACGCGUGGGUAACCUGCCCUAUACACAUGGAUAACAUACUGAAAAGUUUACUAAUACAUGAUAAUAUAUAUUUGCGGCAUCGCAGAUAUAUCAAAGUGUUAGCGGUAUAGGAUGGACCCGCGUCUGAUUAGCUAGUUGGUGAGAUAACUGCCCACCAAGGCGACGAUCAGUAGCCGACCUGAGAGGGUGAUCGGCCACAUUGGAACUGAGACACGGUCCAAACUCCUACGGGAGGCAGCAGUGGGGAAUAUUGCACAAUGGGCGAAAGCCUGAUGCAGCAACGCCGCGUGAACGAUGAAGGUCUUCGGAUCGUAAAGUUCUGUUGCAGGGGAAGAUAAUGACGGUACCCUGUGAGGAAGCCCCGGCUAACUACGUGCCAGCAGCCGCGGUAAUACGUAGGGGGCUAGCGUUAUCCGGAUUUACUGGGCGUAAAGGGUGCGUAGGUGGUCCUUCAAGUCGGUGGUUAAAGGCUACGGCUCAACCGUAGUAAGCCGCCGAAACUGGAGGACUUGAGUGCAGGAGAGGAAAGUGGAAUUCCCAGUGUAGCGGUGAAAUGCGUAGAUAUUGGGAGGAACACCAGUAGCGAAGGCGGCUUUCUGGACUGCAACUGACACUGAGGCACGAAAGCGUGGGUAGCAAACAGG
rnacentral:rRNA from 1 species